CAUGGUCAGAAUCCCUGUAAUGACUUCCCUUUUUCUUUUGAGAAAAAAAAAUAGUGAAAAUUGCAUUGAUUCGAUCUUUCAAUGCCUGUGUAUUUACAGAGACCUUUAUGGCUCCAGCUCAAGCUGCAGCAGCAGGUAAUUCACAUAAAGAAUAACCAAGUUCAAUUCAAGAAACAUUUUGCCACCCUGAUCUGAGAACAAUGCAGCAACAUAUUUUGGAUGAUGUAGUGCUCUUAUGCAGGAAAAAUGGAACACAAAGAAUGUGUUAUGGAACUAUCUGAAAACCAACAUUCCUUGAGUGUUUAUGCGGCUGCUUAUGAUGCA